rnacentral:tRNA from 1 species
GCCGAAGUGGCGGAACUGGUAGACGCGCUACGUUCAGGGCGUAGUGGGAGUACUCCCGUCGGGGUUCGAAUCCCCGCUUCGGCA